rnacentral:rRNA from 1 species
ACGGAGGGGACUAGCGUUGUUCGGAAUUACUGGGCGUAAAGCGCACGUAGGCGGAUUUGUAAGUCAGGGGUGAAAUCCUGGAGCUCAACUCCAGAACUGCCUUUGAUACUGAGAAGCUUGAGUUCGGGAGAGGUGAGUGGAACUGCGAGUGUAGAGGUGAAAUUCGUAGAUAUUCGCAAGAACACCAGUGGCGAAGGCGGCUCACUGGCCCGAUACUGACGCUGAGGUGCGAAAGCGUGGGGAGCAAACAGGA